CAAGAAAUGACAGUGGAGCUGACAGCUCUAUUAGCUGCAGACACAGGACAGGCAAAAGCUGUUGUAUCACCUCUGAAUAAUGAGCUGGAUUUCAGAAUGCAGCCCAGAUUCUUGCAGGACAAACCGUGAUGUGGCAGAUGGAGAGUACUGGAAUUGCUGUAUCUCUGCAGAGGAAGAAGUGCAAAAAAAAUUUUCAUGUCUGCCUGAGAAGUGCAGAUAUGGAAAGUGUUCCAUGGGACUAGAGAGUGACAAGGAAUUCAGAAGCUGCAAGGCAUUAAUGAGGUGCAUUGAUUUAAUUAGCCAGCGUAACAUCAUUCAUCACGGCAACCACGAGAGACGUGCCCGUAACAGCGACUGCCUGAAGGUCACACUCACACAAAACAUUUCUCCUGUGCCACACAAAUGUCCUGCUGUAAGGACAGGCUCUGAAGACCUGCUCUACCCAGGCUUAGAAAGAAGUCACUGAAAGGCAAUUUUGAAAAGCUUCCACAUGAAUAACAGAGUGAUAUAUGUUGUAAUCAGGUCCAUUCAACAUCUUAAUAAUGUGAAGUUUCUGGAUUCCCAAUGUUUAUUGGACUUAAAUGUGGGAAGUAAACAGUAAGGACUAAUUUUAAGAUUGUUGUCUGUAAUAGAGUCAAAAUCAUCAAGUUUUAGGACAUUUCAUGAUUUUAUACCAGCACAUCCAUGCCUGUCAGCCUUUUCUGCCUGUGUCUUGCCUGUUCAUUAUUCAGGAAAGAACUUAAAUAAUGAUGAGGCUCUGAAAGAAUUCUCAGUAGCAAAAAGCUUCAUAAGGGUUCAUUUAUGGUCUCAGCUACAUAGGGGUAAGACUCAAGUACACUGAUAAAGUGAAAAGAACUCCUGGGGACACAUGCUGCCAUAAAUGGGUGUUGCAUAUAACUAAAGCCCUACACAAUAAGGGCCUUGUUGCCCUUGUAAAAUCAUGGCUCAGGGCUGCUACUCCGACUAAGUGGGACUAUAGGAAAGUGACUCAGCUGAAUUAGAGGCAGAAAAAAAAUUAAAUAAUCAUUGUGUGUUCACAUCCUGGUGUAUGGUGGUUGGUUGGAUUAUGUUUGUUAUGAUUUAAAAUUGUGUACUGAUAAAGGCCUAACUGCUUAAAAAGGCUUAGUUUUUGCAAUAAAGGGCUCUCCUUUGCACCUGC